rnacentral:rRNA from 1 species
UACGUAGGGGGCGAGCGUUGUCCGGAUUUAUUGGGCGUAAAGAGCUCGUAGGCGGUCUGUCGCGUCGGAUGUGAAAGCCCGGGGCUCAACUCCGGAUCUGCGGUGGGUACGGGCAGACUAGAGUGAUGUAGGGGAGACUGGAAUUCCUGGUGUAGCGGUGAAAUGCGCAGAUAUCAGGAGGAACACCGAUGGCGAAGGCAGGUCUCUGGGCAUUAACUGACGCUGAGGAGCGAAAGCAUGGGGAGCGAACAGG